rnacentral:rRNA from 1 species
CAGUCGCCGCGGUAAUACGUAGGGUGCAAGCGUUAAUCGGAAUUACUGGGCGUAAAGCGUGCGCAGGCGGUUAUAUAAGACAGAUGUGAAAUCCCCGGGCUCAACCUGGGAACUGCAUUUGUGACUGUAUAGCUAGAGUACGGCAGAGGGGGAUGGAAUUCCGCGUGUAGCAGUGAAAUGCGUAGAUAUGCGGAGGAACACCGAUGGCGAAGGCAAUCCCCUGGGCCUGUACUGACGCUCAUGCACGAAAGCGUGGGGAGCAAACAGGAUUAGAGACCCCUGUAGUCCCUGUCUCUUAUAC